rnacentral:rRNA from 1 species
CUAACCAUGCAGUCGAGCGGAUGAAGGGAGCUUGGCUCCUGGAUUCAGCGGCGGACGGGUGAGUAAUGCCUAGGAAUCUGCCUGGUAGUGGGGGAUAACGUUCCGAAAGGAACGCUAAUACCGCAUACGUCCUACGGGAGAAAGCAGGGGACCUUCGGGCCUUGCGCUAUCAGAUGAGCCUAGGUCGGAUUAGCUAGUUGGUGAGGUAAUGGCUCACCAAGGCGACGAUCCGUAACUGGUCUGAGAGGAUGAUCAGUCACACUGGAACUGAGACACGGUCCAGACUCCUACGGGAGGCAGCAGUGGGGAAUAUUGGACAAUGGGCGAAAGCCUGAUCCAGCCAUGCCGCGUGUGUGAAGAAGGUCUUCGGAUUGUAAAGCACUUUUAAGUUGGGAGGAAGGGCUGUAGGCUAAUAUCCUGCGGUUUUGACGUUACCAACAGAAUAAGCACCGGCUAACUUCGUGCCAGCAGCCGCGGUAAUACGAAGGGUGCAAGCGUUAAUCGGAAUUACUGGGCGUAAAGCGCGCGUAGGUGGUUCGUUAAGUUGGAUGUGAAAGCCCCGGGCUCAACCUGGGAACUGCAUCCAAAACUGGCGAGCUAGAGUACGGUAGAGGGUAGUGGAAUUUCCUGUGUAGCGGUGAAAUGCGUAGAUUAUAGGAAGGAACACCAGUGGGCGAAGGCGACUACCUGGACUGAUACUGACACUGGAGGUGGCGAAAGGCGGUGGGGGGAGCAAACAGGAUUAGAAUACCCUC